UGCCUUUCUCCCUCCCUCCUUCUUCCUUCCUUCCUUCUUUCCUUCCAAGCCUGGAACUCCCAGACCUUUACCUCUAAAGCUCUGGGAUAGUAAGUAUGUGACCCUCCACCCUUGGCAGUUUUCCUGGCAUCUUUUUCUCUCCUUCAUGUGCUUGUGUGAAAUCUACCUGGCAACUUGUGAUGUCACACAGCCCACGAUCUAAUCCUCCUGGCAAGUGGCACCGUGAGCCAACACCGUGAAAUCCGGAAACCAGUGACUUAGCUCAGCCCACACUGAGCCAGAGUUCCCUGGUACCCGGGGUCUUCUCGGGCAAGCGCGGGCCAGCGCGGGCCAGAGGGAAGUAAGGGCUCCCUGCGCGAGCUGCAGGUCACCGGGCUGUGGCGCCCUGGGUCUCACGGCCACCUCCGCUGACCACCCGGGUCGCGUGCCCUGCUCAGACGCCAGCCUUCCUCCUUGGGGGCCGGGCCGCACCCCUCGAGGCGCUCUUCCUGUCCGCCAAGGUCCAACCGGACCGGACCGGACCGCUAAAGGGAAGCUGUCGGCGGGGCUGUCUCCGAAGACCCACAAACGGACCCCAGAUUUAUCUACAGCAGGUACAGACGCUCGCAGCAGACUGUAGCUUCAACUCCAGGAGAUCUGACCUCCACAGGAACGGUGCCAAGAACUGGUAGGAGGCAUCCAGAUGCUCACAGGACACAGACGGAGCACAAGGAAGAAAACCAUUUCUGCAGUGUGCUGGAGUAGCCCAAACCGCUUAGCCAGGGGGCCAGCUGCUUCCAGGCCUGGAUAUUGUCCUUCCAUAGCCACUGUCCAAUGAUCAUCUCUAUGUACAACAGGGGGAUCCCCACCAGCAGCAGCAGGAUGAGCACCAAUCUACUUCAAGAAGAAGAUGGGCAUUGAA